UACGUAGGGUGCAAGCGUUGUCCGGAAUCAUUGGGCGUAAAGAGCGUGUAGGCGGCCCGAUAAGUCCGCUGUGAAAGUCCAGGGCUCAACCCUGGGAUGCCGGUGGAUACUGUCGGGCUCGAGUCCGGAAGAGGAGUGUGGAAUUCCGUGGUGUAGCGGUGAAAUGCGCAGAUAUCAGGAGGAACACCAAUGGCGAAGGCAGCACUCUGGGACGUGACUGACGCUGAGACGCGAAAGCGUGGGGAGCAAACAGG
rnacentral:rRNA from 1 species